CCGCGCCGCGAGCCCGCAGGGUGUCAUCUCCGGCCGGUGGUGAGCUCUAGCGCCGCGCGGCGCGGCGGGGGGCGGAACGGAAGCCGAGCGAGGAGGAGGGAAGAGUGCGAAGAGGUAGGGAGGGAGGGGGCAGUGCGGGCAGGGGAAAGGCGAAGGCUGGGGCGAGGGUCCGGGCAGGUCGGGCAGAGAGCGGAGUGAGAAUUUGGCAAAGAAACCGAGGGAGGCAGAGAGAGAGAGACGCCGCCUUCUUAUGGCCGCCGUCUACAGGGGCC
rnacentral:lncRNA from 1 species